rnacentral:misc_RNA from 1 species
GAAAUGCGAUAAGUAAUGUGAAUUGCAGAAUUCAGUGAAUCAUCGAAUCUUUGAACGCACAUUGCGCCCGCCAGUAUUCUGGCGGGCAUGCCUGUUCGAGCGUCAUUUCAACCAUCAAGCCCCCCGGGCUUGUGUUGGGGACCUGCGGCUGCCGCAGGCCCUGAAAAACAGUGGCGGGCUCGCUGUCACACCGAGCGUAGUAGAUUCUCAUCUCGCUCAGGGCGUGCUGCGGGUUCCGGCCGUAAAACAGCCUUAUUUUACCCAAGGUUGACCUCGGAUCAGGUAGGAAGACCCGCUGAACUUAA